GCAAUCGUAGCAUCAUCAGUCAACAUGGCAAUCAGGUCCAGGCCUUCAGUUAUUGGAAUAGGAACCUUUGAAUCAGAAUGAAAUAUAAUAAUAAUCCAGCAAGCUAUGUGAUAAAGAGGUCACCUACAUAAAUCACAUAUAGGGCAAUCUCCAUUGCUAUUGCUUCUCUGCAAAGACAGCCAAUAAACUCACCAAUUAGAGCCAACACUAGGAACUGCACUGCCACCUCCAACUCAUUUCCCACAAGCCAAAUAGAGUCACAAACGAUUUCUCAAUUUGGAAUGAAUUAGUACACAGG